rnacentral:rRNA from 1 species
UGGGGAAUAUUGGACAAUGGGCGCAAGCCUGAUCCAGCCAUGCCGCGUGAACGAUGAAGGCCUUAGGGUUGUAAAGUUCUUUUGUCAGGGAAGAUAAUGACGGUACCUGAAGAAUAAGCACCGGCUAACUUCGUGCCAGCAGCCGCGGUAAUACGAAGGGUGCUAGCGUUGUUCGGAAUCACUGGGCGUAAAGCGCGCGUAGGCGGCGAUAUAAGUCAGAGGUGAAAGCCUGGAGCUCAACUCCAGAACUGCCUUUGAAACUAUAUUGCUAGAGUGUCGGAGGGGAUAGCGGAAUUGCUAAUGUAGAGGUGAAAUUCGUAGAUAUUAGCAGGAACACCGGUGGCGAAGGCGGCUAUCUGGACGACAACUGACGCUGAGGCGCGAAAGCGUGGGGAUCAAACAGGAUUAGAUACCCUUGUAGUCCCUGAGCGGGCUGGCAAGGCGCAU